rnacentral:rRNA from 1 species
AUGUCUCAGGUACCGCAGAUUGGGUGGUUCUGCAGCUUGGUGGCGGCGACGCUCGCGGUCGGCGUCAUGGGUCAGCCACCUUCCCCUUCCAACUGGUUCUGGGAAACUCCACCUUCGUGGGACGGGACGCCUCCCCAGCCCGAGGUCCCGUCCUACGCCAACGGCCAGCUCUCUCCGGCCAACUACAACAAGCCCAACCGCAUCUUCAUCUGCGACGACGACUGGGGCAAGACCUGCGUGGCGCAGUGCCCGGACCUCUGCCCCAAGUCCUGCGAGAUGUCAUGCAGCUACUGCGAGACCUCCUGCAGGUGUGCGAACUACCCCGGCACCUCGUGCGGCGACCCUAGCUUCACCGGCGGCGACGGCGUCACCUUCUACUUCCACGGCAGGAAAGACCAGGACUUCUGCAUCGUCUCCGACGCCGACCUCCACAUCAACGCGCGCUUCAUCGGCAACCACAACCCUGUCAACGAGCGCACCUUCACGUGGAUACAGUCCCUCGGCGUGAGCUUCGGCGAUCACCGCCUCUUCGUCGGCGCUCGCAGGGCCAUCGAGUGGGACGAGGAAGAGGACCACAUCGAGAUCACCUUCGACGGUGAACCCAUCAACAUAGACACCUCCAACAAUGCACGGUGGGUCUCCAGGACCCUAGCUGGUCUAUCCGUGAAGCGCACGGACGCUGUCAACUCUGUCAAGGUGGAUCUCGCGGGCGUGUUCAGCAUCUCGGCCAGCGCGGUGCCCAUCACCGACGAGGACUCCAAGAUCCACAGCUAUGGCAAGACCAUGAAGGACAGCCUGGUGCACCUUGACCUCCGCUUCAAGUUUCAUUCCCUCACAGACGUCGUCGACGGUGUCCUUGGCCAGACCUACCGGCUGGACUAUGUCAACAAGAUGAAUGUCACUGCUAAGAUGCCCAUCAUGGGCGGCGCUCCAAAGUAUCUCUCCUCGGGGCUCUUCUCGACGGACUGUGCUGUCUCCAAGUUCCACCGUAGCGGUGGCGCCAACCAUGUUCGUGCCUUGGCAGCAUAA